rnacentral:rRNA from 1 species
UACGUAGGGUGCAAGCGUUAAUCGGAAUUACUGGGCGUAAAGCGUGCGCAGGCGGUUAUGCAAGACAGAGGUGAAAUCCCCGGGCUCAACCCGGGAACUGCACUUGAAACUGCGCGUCUUGAGUACUGGAGAGGGUAGUGGAAUUCCUGGUGUAGAGGUGAAAUUCGUAGAUAUCAGGAGGAACACCGGUGGCGAAGGCGGCUACCUGGACAGUCACUGACGCUGAGACGCGAAAGCGUGGGGAGCAAACAGG